GAAAUCCUGUCUCGAGGACAAGAUUGAGUUGAACUAAGGAUGUAAAUGACAAAAAAAAAAGUUAUUAGAUCCAUUCACCAUCCACGUUUCCGCUCUGGGUUUCGCAUUCCUCCUUCUUCCUUCACCGUCAAUUGCGUUUAUCUAUUACGUCACGAUUGAGCGCCCUCAUCAUCCCUGUAGUCAAACCCUAUAUAAAAUACCUUUUGAUGGACUUGAAGCUUUAGUUCAGUCUUAUUGUUAGCCAUUCACCCAUGAUUUGUGAUUCGUGAUGAUUGCUUAAAGUCGAAUACCGGACGAUAGCCAACUAUAUUUUUUAUCAAUCAGCUAACUAACAUCAGAUAACAGCAACGAAUCUGUUGUUCGCCAGGCUCAAGACUGGCUCCGCGCUAGAGACCAUUGGAUCCGAGUAAUUAUAGACUUUGGACCCCGUUCUUUUAGUUACUCACGUUAUUUCUACAAGGAUCCAAAGCGCGUUAUAAAUAAAAUCAUAAAUGCAUAUAUAAAUAAUUUUUUUUUUAAAUAUCAAAUGUGAAAUGUUUCUAGUUUUAAGAUUUUGUUAGUUUGUAAGGAUUCUCGAUUUUCAACAUAUAUUUGAACCAAAUCAUUUUUUAUGCCUCUUAACCGUUGAUUUUUAAUUUAUACGUACGUUUUUAUUAAUACAAUAUAAUAUUUUAAUAUAAAGUAAUCCUAAAUUUAAGAAGAAAAAAAAAAAAAACUUUUUUUAUUUUUUGAAUGUCUGAUUGUGUAAUCCUUACCAGUGAAUAAUAACAGAUUCCAACAGCCAA
rnacentral:lncRNA from 1 species